rnacentral:rRNA from 1 species
UGGGGAAUAUUGCACAAAUGGGCGCAAGCCUGAUGCAGCCAUGCCGCGUGUGUGAAGAAGGCCUUCGGGUUGUAAAGCACUUUCAGCGAGGAGGAAGGUGGGUGAGCUUAAUACGCUCAUCAAUUGACGUUACUCGCAGAAGAAGCACCGGCUAACUCCGUGCCAGCAGCCGCGGUAAUACGGAGGGUGCAAGCGUUAAUCGGAAUUACUGGGCGUAAAGCGCACGCAGGCGGUUUGUUAAGUCAGAUGUGAAAUCCCCGGGCUCAACCUGGGAACUGCAUUUGAAACUGGCAAGCUAGAGGUCUCGUAGAGGGGGGUAGAAUUCCAGGUGUAGCGGUGAAAUGCGUAGAGAUCUGGAGGAAUACCGGUGGCGAAGGCGGCCCCCUGGACGAAGACUGACGCUCAGGUGCGAAAAGGCGU